AAUCCAUAGGUUAAUGAGGCGAACCGGGGGAACUGAAACAUCUAAGUACCCCGAGGAAAAGAAAUCAACCGAGAUUCCCCCAGUAGCGGCGAGCGAACGGGGAGGAGCCCAGAGCCUGAAUCAGCAUGUGUGUUAGUGGAAGCGUCUGGAAAGGCGCGCGAUACAGGGUGACAGCCCCGUACACAAAAGCGCAUGUGCUGUGAGCUCGAUGAGUAGGGCGGGACACGUGGUAUCCUGUCUGAAUAUGGGGGGACCAUCCUCCAAGGCUAAAUACUCCUGACUGACCGAUAGUGAACCAGUACCGUGAGGGAAAGGCGAAAAGAACCCCGGCGAGGGGAGUGAAAAAGAACCUGAAACCGUGUACGUACAAGCAGUGGGAGCACAGGUUUACCUGUGUGACUGCGUACCUUUUGUAUAAUGGGUCAGCGACUUAUAUUCUGUAGCAAGGUUAACCGAAU
rnacentral:rRNA from 2 species